rnacentral:ncRNA from 1 species
UGUGGGAGAGACCGGGGUCAUCCCGGCGCCGAAGGAGCAACCGCCCCGGAAACUCUCAGGCAGAAGGACCACGC